rnacentral:lncRNA from 1 species
UCACAACUCUCUCUAAUCACCCCCAAAUCACCCAAAUUCGCAGCUGAUUGCAGAAGUUCGGGCAGAAGCAUACCUCUUCACAAAAGUGAGCAUAACUCACUCAAUACUUGUCCGAUUUAGUCCAUUCUUUUUCCAGAACGCUUGGCUUGACCUUAUCUUCGAUACCAUGGGUGUUUCUCAAUGAAUAAACCCCUGGAACUCCGGCAAAUAGGCUUCAAAGUCCACUUUUAACUCACUCAAACCUAUGUCCUAAUGCUUACAACCUAUCUUAUGGUUGGUUAGGCUUAAAAACAAGGUUGAGACAUGUGAAAUCAGAGGUGUAAACCUCACAUACUUUCCGUUUUGUUUGGGUUUUAACCCACAAGUAAUGAACAAGCCUAAUGCUUGAUGUUUGUGUGAUUAUAGGACUAGCUUGGGCUAUCCUACUUGUAAGUCCACACAUUACUUGAUGUUUUCCUUAGAUUAGUUGUAUUUAUUCAUUCUUUAUUGUAUGUUCAUGACCCUCCUUGGUUGUUUUUACAUCAAGUGUAGUGGUGAACACUUAGAGGUACCUAAAUGGAAGCUUGUUCUUCCUACCUCCUACAUGAUUUCCAUGAUAUUUAGAGGUACCUAAAUGAAGAUCUUAAUCUUCUACCUCAUGCUUGAAAUAUUGGACUUAAUAAUAGGUAUAAAAUAUAUGUAAUAUAUAAACACAUAAUCCAAAUAAUCGAAUCUUAGAUGAUGAAUUAGUGUUCAUAUGUCCAAGUACUAGAUUAUAUCAUCCUAUGAUAACUUGUUACGAUUCUAGUGGAACCAUGUUCCAUGAAACCAUAUAAACUCCUUGGAGUACAUAGUGUCAAGAACAAGUAUCAUAUGUAUUAGAUGAUUAUUUUCACAUGUUAUUCUCAUAUGUUAUUUUCAUGUUGUUUUAUUCCGAGUCUCGACUCUAAGCAUACUCGAACUUUAACCCUUAUACAUUCGGACUCUAAAUCUCUACUCGUCAACAAUUGGAUAAUCGGAAAGCAUAUGCAAACUUUGUUGAUGAUGACGAUGCUAUGAAAAGAAGUAGCGUUGAUGCCUAGAUACACAUAUAGACGUUUAGGUUUAAUAUGUUGUAUCAAUUUUUCUUAUGUUGUUAUGUACUUCUUUGAACUUGUUAUAUUUGAAUUUCUUGUAAUGUUGACAAUUUACUUUAUGAAAUGAAAUCGGUUAUUAAAUAUUGUCACAAAUAGCGU